UGAGCAGGGUAGUUUUGCUUUAUACUUUCAUAGAGAGGAUUAGAUUAUAACCGGAUAACUUAUAUUUUGGACUUCUUUGUGAUUUUUUUUUUUGUCUCAGUCAAUCAGCUAGAUAGAAAGCAUUUAUCUGUGCACCUAGCUAGUUUCAAAGGGAUAAAUAGUUCACCUAAUAUUUCACAUCAUGAGCUAAAAAAUGGAGUUGAUUCUCUGUGUUGGGCUUGUCAGUAUGUUCAGGUAAAAAUGAAAUGUAUUUGUGUGGCCAUGUCACAAAUGAGUCAUUCUUGCAUCUUAUAGAGGUCAUGAGGAGGAAUGGACAGCUAGUCUUACUGAAACCACAUGGGGCAGGUUGCUUUUUGUUGUCAUCCAUUUCCUAGAACACAGAUGGAGAAAUUUGCAGUUUUCCAGGACCUUCUAUCACAGCCACUUGAAGUAUUCCCAAGAAGAAAGUUCUACAUUUCAGCUCCCUUCAGAUGAAAGUCAUCCCUGUCCCCUACUCCAGUGACAAACAUUCAACAAUGAAGCCGAUAUAGCCAUUAUUGUACUUGUAAUGAAGCUGUGUUUCAAUACAGGGUUUGUGAAACCCUCCAAAGUUCCCCUUUCUCAGCAUGCAAGACAGACUCACGGGUGCCAGAAGACCUUGGUAAAUAGAAAAGCUUGUUGCUCCAGAUGUGCAUACUUCAAAGGAAUAUCAGGGAUACGCAGGUUCAAAAGGAGAUGUCAGAAGAACAAGAUGAUGGAGCAGUGGCAGGCAUGA
rnacentral:lncRNA from 12 species